GACGAAGGAUGCAAGCGUUAUCCGGAUUCAUUGGGUUUAAAGGGAGCGUAGGCGGCCUUAUAAGUCAGUGGUGAAAUCUUUGGGCUUAACCCAAAAAAUUGCCAUUGAUACUGUAGGGCUUGAGUACAGUUGCUGUGGGCGGAAUAUGACAUGUAGUGGUGAAAUACAUAAGAGAUGUCAUAGAACACCGAUUGCGAAGGCAGCUCACAAAAACUGUAACUGACGCUGAGGCUCGAAAGUGCGGGGAUCAAACAGG
rnacentral:rRNA from 1 species